rnacentral:rRNA from 1 species
GCCUCCCUCCGCCGCCAUCAGACUCCUACGGAGGCAGCAGUGGGGAAUCGUUGGACAAUGGGGGAAACCCUGGAUCCAGCCAUGCCGCGUGAGUGAUGAAGGCCCUAGGGUUGUAAAACUCUUUACGGCGGGGGACGGAGUAAUGACGGUACCCGCAGAAGAAGCUCCGGCUAACUUCGUGCCAGCAGCCGCGGUAAUAC